CCUCUUCCCUGCCAAAACAAUUCCCCCCCGCCCCAAUUCGGCCUCACCUCACUCAACCAAGGGUAGUGCUUCUUCUCCACCAGUCGCGCCGCCGCCGAUGCUGCGGUUCGCAGCACCAUUCCCCCUGCCCCAAUUCCUAUCGAUCCUCUUUCCUGCCAAUCCAAUUCGUCCACCUGCCCCAAUUCGUCCUCACCUCCCUCAACCAAUAGCAGUACUUCUUCUCCGCCGGUCGCGCCGCCGCCGUUCGCAUCACCAUUCAUCCCCACCCUAAUUCCUGUUGAUCCCCUUUCCAGCGGCCCCUCUCUUAUAUCAUUUCUCUAACCUUUUUGCCGCGUCAACACGUCAGACUCCCCCUACUCCGCUGCGAUUCGCAACACUCACCAUUCUCUAACCCGACCAUGGGACGGGUCAUAGCCAGCACCAAUGACUGCCCAGCCGCAGCCACAUCUAUGCAUCGCCGACCACCACAUUGACCCCUAGCCCUGACAUGGAGGAAUUCAAAGUGCCUCCCUAACAAGUUCUACAAACAAUGACGAUUACAGAACUCAUGCACGCUGCCUCAGUCAACUCACGCACGCUGCCUCACUCAACUCAUGGCAGAGCACACCUCGCCGGACUAGGGUGCCAUCGCGCCGACCGAACUCAGGGGGUCGAUUUCUCCGGCCGCAGAGUGCCGAUUUUGGGCGAGCGACGAAAGGAUUGGGCUUGGUAUUUUUCAGGCGAGCGAUUUCUCUGCUUGGGCUCACGAGGGUAAGGCACAGGGAUUUCACUGCCUGAGCUUGGUGUUCUUCAGGCGAGCGAUUUCAUUAUUUUUCAGUUCGUUGCUUUCACAGUUGCAGAGAUUCAGGCUCGCCACGACCAGGGUUCGUUGUUUUUCAGCCGCAGGGAUUGAGGCUCGCCACGAAACUAGGGCGUAAAUCAACAAUGGGAGACAAAUUGCGUGGGAGCCAUUCGUUUAGGUGGAUUGAAACUGAAAAUGAGUUAAAGGACUUUUUAAAGCUUAGAAGUAAGUAGUGCAGAAUUAUCAAUGUAUAUGUUGAGGGAGGGGUCGAUGAUAUGACUGGAGUUCUUCAAAGUAACUUAACUCAAACUGAGAUGAUGAAUCCAGAUGAGGAAAGUGAAGAAGAUGGUAAUACAAAUGGGGGAAUUGAAGUUGAGGGUGAGAACGAAUUGAUAGAUGUGAUCCUAAAGGAGGUGGAUGAUGGUUUGGGAGAUGAUGAACUGGCUGAGGGAGAUGAUGAGUAUAUACAAGCUAGGCAGAUGGUUAGAGAGACUGAAUCGGAGGAAUUGGAGAGGCUUAUAGAGGAAUAUGUACCACCUGCCCUCGAUGAGUUUGAGGGACAUGAAUCUGAUUAUGAGGGUUCAGAUGGGGAUGUUAAUUCUGCAGAAACAGGUGAGGAUGAGAAAUAUUGGAGAUCUACCUAAAUAGAAAGGUGUAUGACCCUAAGUGUGAUCGCAAGGAACUACAAAUUGUCCUUGGGUUGAGGUUUUAGGAUGGAUACGAGUGUAGGAGUGCUUUAACUACAUUUUCCAUAGAGAAUGGGAAGUUUGUACAAUUUAGAAGGGUUUCUAAAGAUCAGUGUGAGGCUAGGUGCAUUCCUCCUUGUGAAUGGAAAGUGUAUGCUAGUAUUGUUAAUGCUGACCAAUCUUUUUGCAUCAAAACAAACGGGGGAGAUCAUAGUCGUCCUAGAGCUAGCAAUGAGUAACAAGUUGCUCACCUCUAAAUGGAUAACAUCUAGGUACUUGAAUGUUUUCAGAGUCAGGCCUGAUUUCACAGUUGCAGAGUUGAGGGCUGAUAUCAUUUCUAGGUUAAAGUAUGAGUUGCCUAAAGAUAGGUCAUAUAAGGCCAAGGCUAUUGCAAAGAGAUGGUAAGGGGCACAGUUGAGCAUCACUAUGGAAAGAUAAUGAGGUAUCUUGCUGAGUUGUGAAGGGUAGAUAAAGAAGGUAGAUUCGAGUUAUUGUUGGGGGAAAAUGCUGUGUUUAAGGGGUUGUAUUUGGGUUUUAGCUCACUAAUCAAAGGUUUCAAAGAUGGUUGCAGGCCACUAAUUGGGCUUGAUGGUUGCUUCCUAAAAACCUAUUUAUGAGGUAUACUAUUAUGUGCUAUAGGGAAAAAUGGAAAUGAUAAGAUGUUUCCCAUAGCAUGGGCAGUUGUGGAGAUAGAAAAUGAAGAUAACUGGAGUUGGUUCCUCAAGUGUUUGAAUGAAGACAUGGUCAUAGGAGAUGGAAAUGGAUACACGUUCAUUUCAGAUCAACAAAAGGAGUUGAUGUUAAGAAGAUAGACGAAUGCAUUGGAGACAUAGAGGCAGAUGUUGACAAUCCUAUUUUGAAAGCUGAACAAGAAGCACAAGCUUGAUAGUCGUAAAAAAAAAUCAUGUCGAAUUUAGUAAGUAUCCUCUGUGAGAGUUGCUAAAUUGGAAUGGGGUACUUCGUCUCAGAUAGGAAAGGGCUCAAGAGGAGACGCUACCAUCUUGCCGACUCUCAUUGCAGGGGAGCAAUGGUGCGAGCCAAGGCUAUUGGUUCAUCCUGUCUUGCUGAUGGUAUUUAAUCGAUGGAAUGGAAGGGGCAAACUAAAACGAGGAAAGCUGUGAAUUAAUCUGUGUGAAACUUGAAUAUGAUUAAUUAUCUUGCCGACUCUCAUUGCAGGGGAGCAAUGGAGCCAUCCAAGGCUAUUGGUUCAUCUCGUCUUGUUGAUGGUAUUUAAUCGAUGGAAUGGAAGGGGCAGACUAAAACGAGGAGAGCUGUGAAAUAAUCUAUGUGUGAAACUUGAAUAUAAUUAUCUCGCAGACUCUCAUUGCAGGGGAGCAAUGGAGCCAUCCAAGGCUAUUGGUUAAUCCCGUCUUGCUGAUGGUAUUUAAUCCAUGGAAUGGAAGGGGCAGACUAAAAGUCUAAAACGAGGAGAGCUGUGUGACGGGUGUGACGGAAGAAGUGCGAAACUUGAAUAUGAUUGGUGGAGAAGUUGAGCAUAUGGGCCUAUUUUGCGAAGGGCACCUAAUGUAUUGUGGCCCAUGAAAUUUUUGAAAUUUAAGUAGAUUGAAAAAAACUUAAAGAAUUAUUCUUUUAUUUUAAAAAAAAUUAUUUCAUAGGAA